rnacentral:lncRNA from 1 species
GGAUUGGCAAUGGUACUGUUUGGAUUGAUUCCGUGUUCGGUUCUUGUACCUAAUUGAUCAUUAAUAUGUCCACUGAAUUUAAUAUUUUCUGUUUCGUUUUGGUAUAUACCAUUAUUAUAGCCAUUAUGGUUCUUAUUAUGUUCGUAUAACGCACUGUUACUGUCACUAUUGUCACUGGUGUCACUGGUGUCAGUAUCCAAAUAUGAAGUACUACAACUUUCAUCAGUUGAUCCUAUACUAUUAUUAUUAUUAUUUGUAAAAUUGUUAUUAUAAUAAAUGUUAUUAUUAUCUUGAUGUGAUGAAUUAUUAUGUAUAUGUGUAUUUUUUUUAAUCCUAUAAUAUUUUCACUUGAUGAUACAUUAAUAAACUUUUUUAACUUUUUAAAUAAAAUACCAACAAUACUUAUAUUGUUAAUAAAAUGGUGUAUACCUAUACUUACUUUUCUAUUAUGUACAUAAAAACUUUUUUUUUUUUUUGUGUGUUUUUUUUUUUUUUUUUUUUUCUUUUUGUACAUAAAGUUGUGUGUUUGCAUCGGUAUUGUCGUACUCAACAGGAUGCAUGCCCCGAUUUAAAUCUGCAUAAUUAUCAAUCAUAUUUGAUCGAUCUGCAUAAUUAUCUACAAUGUUUGGCCUCUUUGUUAUAUUCAUACGUUCGUCCAUACGUUCGUCCAUACGCCCAUCCAUACGUUCGUCCAUACGUCCAUCCAUACGUUCGUCCAUACGUCCAUCCAUACGUCCAUCCAUACGUUCGUCCAUACGUCCAUCCACACGUUCGUCCACACGUCCAUCCACACGUUCGUCCACACGUCCAUCCAUACGUUCGUCCAUACGUCCAUCCACACGUUCGUCUAUCGAUUGUUGUAUUUUAUUGGACUGACCUAUUACAUCCACAUAUUGUUGAUUCGAAAUAUUAAUAGAAUCUAAUGUUUUAUUUUUUAUUUGUGUAUGUUCCUCACUUUUACAUUCAUUUUCAUAAGUUUUUAAUUUUAAUAAAACAUAUAAUAUGUAUUUAUAAUUAAUAUUA